AUUUGGACGAGCUGCUGAAGCUGUAAAAGAGGCAGGAAGCGAAGAAGAUCGGAUUCCUGUUGACGAUUAAGGCACCUGUGUAAAGGACAUGACAAUUGCUGAGACGGAAGCGGAUUUCUUUCCGGCGAUGCAGUCGGUGAGAACCAAGUCGAUGAAGGCUUUCAGGGAUAGCUUAAUCCUGCUGGAACGGUACCUUUGCUCGCCAUGGCACGAAAUGGUACAGGCCUGUACGAGUGAGACUUUUUGAUACACCUGUACAUUUGAGCACUUCCAAUGUGGAGACCGGCAUCAUUUAAGCUUGCUUUGAAAUAAAAUACUGAACACUCGAGUAA